rnacentral:lncRNA from 1 species
GGGGCCUGGCUAGAGGGAUAUGCUGAAUGACCAUAGCCUCCUGCUGUGCUAGGUGACUGUGAUUGACCAUAAACAGGUGGAUUUGCACUUGGCUUCUGAGAGGGAGGAGCACCAUAACUAGGUCCAUAACCAGACUGUGGUUGACUUCCAUAGGCCGCUUGGGUGGUAGGGGCUACCGCAUAACCUGGUUGAGGAGUUUCUGGUUGGUUGGUAGCAUAACCUUGCUGAGCAACAGUAGUGGGUUGGGAAGUUUGGGAGGUAUCCGCUUGUGAUCCAUAGUUGGAAGUGUGCCCCUCUUGGGUUGGAUUACUCCCACUUCCAUAACUUGGAGCAGAGCCAUAACCUUGUUGCUGAUCAUAAGUUUGUGGCUGACCAUACCCAGAUUGUUGUUGUGCAUUAUACGCACCAUAGCUUUCCUGACCAUAACCCUGUCCUGGUUGGCUAUAACCAGAGGAAGGAGGUUGACUGUAACUGUAUCCAGACCCAUCAGCUGGCUGUGGAGGACCCCCAGGAUUUUGCUGUUGCUGGGGUUGUUGGUUGUAAUAAUCAUAACCACUUGCAUGAGUAGACUGCUGGUGAGAUGGUGCGGUGGAUUGGUCCCAGUUGGCGGAAUAUCCACCGGGUUGCUGAGGAGGAUAGCCUGCAUAUGGUGGCUGAGGCAUGUUAUACUGCGGUGAUGGACCAGAGUAUGAUCCAGGUUGCCCAUAGCCAUAACCAGCUUGUUGCACAGGAGCAGGAGGAGGAGCCCAGCUAGACGGUGGUCGGGAUUGGUAACCUUGCUGAGUAUAACCACCGGAGUUCCCUGAAUUUCUGAGACGAUUCUGCAGAGAGAAACAUCACAACCACAAAUUAAAAAGGCAGCUCGACCAACGUAUCAAAACAUAAAAAUAUACGAAGCAAUAGACGUACACAAAAAAUGGGUGUCAAAAUAUGCAUAACCUCAUUUCCAUUGAUGCCAAUAAAAAUUAGUCAUAAUUUCAAUAAGCUGAUUGUCAAGACAACAGAUAUUUUACUCACUACAAGAGCUCAAGUAUGGGAAACUAAAUCCAAAUAUACAGACCGUACUUCACUAAGCCCCAAGUACAUUGAAACAAUCCUUUCAACCUUCCCUCAACCCAAUCUAACAGGUCAGCCUAAACAAACUAUGAAAUAAAAGCUAAUAAAACUGAUUAGUGAGUGCCAUUAUAAUUGAAAGUGAAUUUAACAUAGGAAAUAGCUAUUCUUUAUAUGUAGAUGAGCACAAGUCCCAAGGAUAAAACUAUGCCAAAUGAAAGUUGAGCAUAUGACCCAACGAUAAGAAAUAUUUUAAGUAUAAGUUCUUACGAACAAUGACAGAAACACACAAAUGGCCUUGUUGAAGAGAAUUUUAAACAAAAUCCAACAGAGAGGAACAUAAAUAGAGACAAUGACUAAGAGUACUCAAAGUGUUGUCUAAUUUUAUGGCUGACAUACACAAUCAACAAGUCAAGAUUCAAAAGGGACAUAAAGUUGAUAAAUCAUAGCUACUGCGGUCUCCAGUCUGAGUUAUCAUGGUUUCAUUUGGCAAGCUUAUGCAACCAUACUGUAAAAAUAUGAGCACCUUAUUUUUACAAAAGGCGGAGAAUAAAAAAUGAAUAACAAUUUUGUAGGGACUAAACUCAAAAGGUCCAUAAUUAUAUAAGGUAAUUGUAUAAGAACUUCAAACAUAUUUAAUCCUAAAACUAAACAUGGUUAUAAACCCAUAAUUUUAAACUUAAAAGAGAUUUGGCACAUUCCAUCCAAAAAUGAUAAGCCAGAUAAAACAAAAAAUUGUGUUGAUAACAUACCUCACCAGUGAGGAUUUGAUUAACCAAUUGCUUUGCUGAUUCAAUCUGAUCAGGGGUCCCAUCGAUUUUUAAUGUUCUUUCUGUUGAUGUAUCACCUGGGGGAGGAUGCAAAGGUAUCACCUAAAAAAAUUGACAAUAUUAGUAAAAGUUAAAAUGAAUAGGAAAUCCAAGUCUUGAGAGUCGGGCAGUCAGCUGUUAACAGCAUCUAACUAGAAUCUAACUUUUAACAUAAUCAUGAUUAAGAAACUAUAUAUCGAACAAGAAACGAAGACAAAAGCGCAAGAGAGAACCUGAAUUCGUGCUCCGGUAGAAGCUUGCAUACUCUUUAUUGUUUCUCCUCCUUUACCGAUUAUAAGGCCAACCUAAAGAUGCACACAAGAAACCACAUCAACCCAAAUGAGAAUAAACAAAACACUGCCAAAAAACAUGCCCGCAACUGGAUAUAUUUCCUUCCCACACCUUAUUGUUUGGUAUUUGCAUCACAAAUUCAUCACCCCCAGAUUGUGCAACCAUCCGUCUAGUUCCACCGCCAGAAGCCCCAGCUUCAGCCUAGUUAAUAAACAACAUGUAUCAGUAAUGUUUCACAAACAGGUCAAAGUUACACCAAUUCCAACAUCAUUUGAGCAUAUUUAUUCAUGAAAUACUUCAUAUUAUAGUUACAGAAUCAGUAGAAAACAACUCUUAUCAGUGAUGUCUCACUAACAGUAUACAGUUACAGCAAUUCAACAUCACUUCGUUUGAGCAAAUUUAUCGUGAAAUACUUCAUACUACAGAUACAAAAUCAGUUGAAACAAGUGAUGUUUAUUGAACAUAUUAAAGUUUAUGCCACUCGAACAUCAUUUGAGCAAAUUCAUAAUGAAAUGAUUGUCAUCAAUGUUUUACUAACAGGUUAAAUUAAUGUCGUUCAAGCUUCAUUUGAGCAAAUUUAUCGUGAAAGACUUCAUACUGCAGGCACAGAAUAAGUUGAAAACAAUUCCUAUUGGUGAAGACAACUCCUAUCGUGAAAUAUUUCGUACCUAUCGUGAAAUCGUGAAAUACUUCGCUAAGAGGUAAAGUUACAGUCAUUUGAACAUCGUUUGAGCAAAUUCGCCAUGAAAUUGUGCAAUAUUAGAAGAAAACAACUCUCAUCACAGAUACUUCACUAACAAUUUACAGUUAACAGUUGCAAAAUCCGUUGAAAACAACAAUUUCACUAACAUCUUACCUUUACCGUCAUUUAAACAUCAUUUGAGCAAAAUUGAUCAUAAUUCAUAAAGCACAUCAUAUCACAUAUACAAAAUCAGUCAGAUACAACAAAAUCAGACUACAGUUGCACCAACUUCUACAUCAUUUGAGCAAAUUUAUCAUAAAACACUUCAUAUGACAGUUACAAAAUCAACUCCUAUUGAAACUCCAUACAACAGUUAUCAAAUCAGUUCAAACCAGCUCUAAUCAAUGAUAUUUCACUAAGGUAACAGUUACGGUGAUUUCAAAACAACAAUUGAGCAAAUUAAUCACGACAUACUUCAUAUAACAGUAAAAAAAACAGUUCAAAACAACUCAUAUCAAUGAUUUUCCCUAAAACGUAACAAUUACAGUAAUUCAAAAAAUAUGAAUUAAUCAAAUUGUUAUCAGUAAACACGAGUUUAAAACAAACAAACCUCGGCAAGGACUUCAUUGAUGAGUUUCUCAGCAGAAGAAACAGCAUCAGGAGUACCCAUAAGUUCAACCAUCCUAGUCUGAGAAUUAGGAUCAGCAUCCAUAUCACGAGUAACUUGAAUCUUAGCACCAGAUUGCAUCUGAAGAUACUUAAUAGUUUCACCUCCUUUACCAAUAAGAACACCAACCCUACCAUUAGGUAUUUCAAUCUUCUUACUAGAACCAUAACUACCACCUUGUUGUGAAUAUUGCGGCUUCAAAUCGUAAGAAUCAAACCCCGAGUGUGGAGCACCGUUAUCGGACUUGGUUCGUUUGGGAUCGUAGGAGAGUGGUGGAGCGCCGGUGACGCUGAGAAGACGAGCGGCGACUUCUUGAGCUCGUUGUUUGGCGUUUGCGACUUCGAGUUCGAUGUCAGUGGCGGUGGGUUGGUCAUCGUAUUUACGUUUUAGGGUUGCGUACUGUGCUUCUUCCGCCAUUGAAACAAACCCUAGAGGGAAGAAGAAAGUGAAAACACGAUGUGUGAAGGAAUUGGAUUAGGUUUUGAAAACACGAUGUGCUACUGGUCAUUUCAGAUACUAGAGAAGAGGUAAAAUUUUACUCGGACUUAAAUCUAAUUUUUAAUCACACAAAAAAAAAACCAAUUAAAAAAUGUAAAAUAAGAAUUUAACUAUCAUAUUUUUUUUUUUGGAAGGAAAUUUAACUAUCAUAUUUUAAAAAUUCAAUUAAAAAAAAGUAAUAUAAGAAUUUUUUUGACAAAAGUAAUAUAAGAAUUUAAUUAACAUAUUCUAAAAGUUUGGACUUAUAUAUAAAAAUCGUUGAUGGUCGUUAUUGAAUUUUAAGAUUUAUGAGUGGGUUCUUUUUGCCUAAAAAAAUAUUGUAAAAAUUAAAAAAAAUAUAUAUGAAUGGUAUUUUGAUUAAAAUUAUAGUACGAAUCGUUAGGUAUAUAUUUGUAAUUUAGUAAUUUGAAAAAUAAAUAAAUUGAAGAUUUCAUCAUAUUUCAUCCAAAUUAGAGGGUAAGCAAAACCAAAGUAAGUGGUGGAACAUGAUGGAAUGCAUGUUAUUGAGUUUUAUUCCAUCCCAUCCUUUUAAUGAUUAUUCAAACAAUGAAAUCUUAAUUUAUUCCAUUUCAUCCUACUUCAUUCCAUCACAUUCCAUCAAUUCAGACAUAGCCUUAGUGUUACGGUAGAUAUGUAGUUUGAUUUGGUUCGGAUGACAAAAUAAAAACCACAACCAAACACGAUUUAUUGCGGUUUUCGUUUUAAUUGGUUCCGUUUACGUUUCUAUUGAGUCACUAGGUUUUGAACACUCAUAAAUACUUGUUUGCGUGCGUAUAUGUAUAUGUGCAUAUAGUCACUAGAGGUGUUCAAAACCGAACCAACCCAAUAGAAAAACCGCAAACCAAACCAAUCCAACCCGAAAUCGCAAAAAACCGCACUUGGUUCAGAUGAAUUCGGAUGACUUUUGCAAUGAACCGCGCGGUUCGGUUUGGUUUGCGGUUUGCAUCUCAGCAGCCGAACCAAACCAAACCAAACCGCAAGAAUCAUGAAUAUUACUUAAACAUGUACUAGCCCAAUUACUGCACAAACUGAACCAAUCCAAACCGCAUUGGUUUGGUUUGGAUGAAUUUUUAAAAAUCAACCGAACCAACCAAACCGCAUGCUUUUUUAUCUCGUAGUUUGGGUUUUAUGCUCAAAACUGAACCAAACUACGUCGCGGACACCCCUAAUAGUCACUCUAAAAAGACAUUUAUAAAGGAACCGAAGGAGUGCUAUUAAAAAAUUAUUGUUAAUUGUUAUAUGGCUAAAAUAUGUUUUUGGUCCUUGCAAAUAUGGUGAGUUUGGAUUUUGGUCCCUGGUAAUUUUUUUUUUUUUAAAAAUUCAUCCCUGCAAAAAUUUUUGUUUUUUAAAAUAGUCCUUGACUCCACUUUAUUGAUGAUUUGACGCAUUUCUUCUACACACGUGGCUUUCGUUGACUGUGGAAGAACGUACACAUGGCACACAAGUGGCAAUUGCCUUAUUUAAAAUAUUUAAAAAUCAUUUUAAUUAAAAUUAAAUUUAGUUUUCAAAUUUAAAAAAAGAUUUAAUUAAAUUAAAAAAUUAAAGAAUCAGCAUUCUUUUCAUCUCUUCUUCUUCUCCAACCCUUUUCUUCUUAUUCUUCUUCUGCAAUAACACAACAUCUGUUUCACCAUCUUCACCAUUUUUCCAUCAUCAUUAAAACCAAUCAAAACCACAUUCAAUUGUAGAGAAAAUGGGAGAAAGAUAUCCAGAAUCUGAGGAGCAAAUCCAUAAACGAAAUCAAAUCUCAACGCAACAAAAAUCAAAUCUUAAACAAAAUCAAAUCUUCUCCAUCACAUCGCAGCAAAAUCAAAUCUUAAACAAAAUCUCAAAUUUGAGUAGCAAACCCAUAAACGAAAUCAGACGAACCCAGAAGCGAAAACGAGUGAGAAUCGUCUCCGGUAGUCAGAUCUGGUGGUUGGUGACUGAGCGGUGAUGAUGGCGGUUCAUGUUGUAGCGCGACGAGGACGGUGGCGGAGGAGUUUUAAUUUGCGGUGGCUUGAGAUGGGCUGAUGGCAAAUCUUGGUUGCUGUUAGUUUUUGUUUAUGAAUUGGAAACAAAUGAUGUUUUGUCAUAAUUGAGUUCAUGGUGAACUGUAGAUUGUGAUGUGAUGUUGUGUUUCUUACCUCCAUUGCUUCUCUCUUGUUGUUACUGUUCUAGAUCCAAAGAGAUGGUCUCUCUUGGUGUUCAGUUCUUAAUACAUGUUUUGGUCCUUAACUUAUUUUCGGAUUUUAUUUUGGUCCUCUAACUAUAAAGUGUCUCAAUUUGAUCUCUUAUGUUUUCUCCGUUACCUCUUUUGGUCUUCUCCCUUAGGUUGUUUUCAAAAAUAGUUAACCCUUGUCCACAUGUCAUUUAAGAUUGGAGAUUAAGGGUUAGAUUUAAAAAGUAUACAAUGAGCUCACAACAUACAAUCAUUUCUAUUUUUCUUGAUUUUCCUAAAAAUAUAAAUUUAAAAUCACCAUCAAUCUACAUCUUUUUAUAUAUUUUGAAAAUAAUUUGUAUCCAGAUUUUUAAAAAUUAAAAUAUUUUUCAGAAUUUUGUAGAAAAAAAUAAAAAAAAAUCUGACCUUUUUUUUUAAAAUUUCGUAAUAAAAUUAUUUUUUUUCAAAUUUUGAAAAAGAUUUUAUAAAAUUCAAGAAUAACUUUUUUUUUCAUAUUUUAUAAAAAUCUGAAUUUUUUUAUAUAUUUUUCAAAAUUAAAAUAUUUUCCAGAAUUUUGUAGAAAAAAUUAAAAAUAACCUUUUUUUUCGAAGAAAAAUAUGAUCUUUUUUUAUAACCUUUUUAAAUUCUGAAUUUUUUAAAUUAAAAUAUUUUCCAGAAUUUUGUAGAAAAAUUUGUAUCCAGAAUUUUAAAAAUUAAAAUAUUUCCCAGAAUUUUGUAGAAAAAAUUUAAAAAAACAUUUUUUUUCGGAAAUCUGACCUUUUUUUGAAAUUUCGUAAAAAAAUAAAUUUUUAAAUCUUGGAAAAGAUUUUAAAAAAAUUCUGGAAUAUUUUUUUGGAUAAUGUUUUAUGUACACACUUUUUUCCAUACACACAUUGUACCACUUCAUGUGAGAGUGUGUGAGAGACAAUACAUUUGAGUUUUUUUGUGUGUGGGGGGGACCACAAGGACACUUGUCAAAAUUGUAUGUGGGUGUACAAGUGGUACAUGUCACCUAAGGUGGUUUAUGUAUCACCACUCAUUUUUUUUCCUUCUAAUUUUAAAAUAUGAAUUUUUUAUAUAUUUUUCCAGAUUUUUAAAAAUUAAAAUAUUUUUCAGAAUUUUGUAGGAAAAAAUUAAAAAAACCUUUUUUUUCGAAAAAAAAAACUGACCUUUUUUAAAAAUUUCGUAAAAAAAUAAAUUUUUUUAAUUUUGAAAAUGAUUUUAAAAAAAUCUGGAAUAUUUAAAAUAUGAAUUUUUUAAUAUAUUUUUUGCUUCAAAAAAAUCAGGUGUUAAUCAUUCACCGUAGGCUACAAUAAACCUACAUGAUCCAACGGUUUCUAUUUGAAAAAUAGAUCAAAAAGUUAAAAUGUAACGGAGAGGACCAAAAGAGGUAACGGCAUAAGACAUAAGGGACCAAAUUGAGACACUUUAUAGUUAGGGGACCAAAAUGAAAUCCGAAAAUAAGUUAAGGGACCAAAGCAUGUAUUAAGCCAUAAAUUUAUGAAUUUUCCACCUUUUCUGCAGUUUCUUUAAUUUUUAAUCACUUAAUUAAACUUAAUUGAUUUUUUAUUUUAAUUUCAAAAGUAUAUUUUUUUAUUUUAAAAAAUGGUUUUUAAAUAAUUAAAUUGAAACAAUUGUCAUGUGGCUGCCAAUUGUGCAUAAUUACACAGUCAGUGAAUGUCACGUAGGCAGAAAUGCGCCAAAUCAUCAAUAAAAUGGGGUCAAGGACUAUUUUAAAAUACAAAAAAUUUUGCAGGGAUGAAUUUCAAAAAAGAAAUUUACCAGGGACCAAAAUCCAAACUCGUCAUAUUUGCAGGGAUCAAAAACAUAUUUUAGCUUGUUAUAUUUGUUGAAGGAAGUUAAUGCAAAUUAAAUUCGCUAAAUAAAAUCUAUGAUUUAUUAUGUCAAGAGAAAAGUCAAAUAAAUAUAAGUUAAUAACUUAAAAUAUAUUUGAUUUAAAGAUAUUGAUCAUAAACAAGUUAUUUAACUUUACUAACAAAAAAAAUUGCAUUGAUGAUAAUAUUUAAAAUGUCAUGUUAAUAUAAAUAAAUAAAAAAACAUUUUUUACACUUUUGUAAUGCAUAAAAAGAGAGAAAACCAAUCAAACAUAUCUUAAAAGAGAGAUGAUCCAGAAGCAAAGAGGAUACGGAUUUUGUAAUGCAUAAAAAAAUGAAAACCAAUCAAGACUGCACAAAUAAUACAUGGCAUUUUUUUUUUUUUGACGAAAUACAUAAUGACAUGUUGAUCAUACAGAUUUCAGAUAUGAUUUUGUUCGGACUAAGAAAAUAACACCUAUGCUGCAUGUUGAAUCAAAAGCUCCUGCUAUCAUAAGCUACUGCUAUCAUGUGAUAUCAUACAGAGCUCUACUGAGAUCUCCUGAAAUAUGUAACUUAUACAUAUAAAAUCCUUCUUACAUUUUCAAAAAACUUAGGUUUAUUUAAGUAUUCUGUGUUCAUUUUAGUAAUGUCUUUUAACAUAUAUUCCACGGUUGCACCAAAAUUCUGCAAAUGGCAUGUAACUUCGCAGCUCAUUUCAGGAAAAUUCUUUCCUUUUGAAAUGAAAGAUACGGGGAUCAAACCAUACAACUUUUAAAAGGAAAAUGCUAGUCUAACGCUGGAUUCAGUACAAUUUGUUAGCUCCUAUUCAACCUUCCGGAAAAUAUUCAAGUACCAAAAUAAGUUUGUUUUCAUCUAGACACUGCAAUGCCAUAUAGAUGUUGCUAUCAAAAUGGGAGGAAAAAAAAUUAAAACCACAUCCCAAAGGACCAUAAUAAAAUCACAAAAGACAAAUCAACUCUUGGGUGAGACUUUAGCAACACCGCCCUGUGGAACAGCCUGUGCAGUUGCUCCAUCGCUAGCAUAUGCUGGAGCCUGAGCAUAACCAGCACCAUAAGAACUAUUUCCAUAUGACGCUGGAGUCUGGCCAUAGCUAGGCUGGCCACCUUGAGGAGCACCAUAUGAUUGCGGACCAUACCCUGGUUGCACUGGUGCUCUCUGAGUUCCUAACUCUGGUUGAGCAUAUCCAGAAGGUGGGGCCUGGCUAGAGGGAUAUGCUGACUGACCAUAGCCUGCUGCUGUGCUAGGUGACUGUGACUGACCAUAAACAGGUGGAUUUGCACUUGGCUUUUGAGAGGGAGGAGCACCAUAACCAGUUCCAUAACCAGACUGUGGUUGACUUCCAUAGGUCGCUUGGGACGUAGGGGCUACCGCAUAACCUGGUUGAGGAGUUCCUUGUUGGUUGGUAGCAUAGCCUUGCUGGGCAACAGUAGUGGGUUGGGAAGUUUGGGAGGUAUCUGCUUGUGAUCCAUAGUUUGAAGUGUGCCCUUCUUGGGUUGGAUUACUCCCACUGCCAUAACUGGGAGCAGAGCCAUAACCUUGUUGCUGAUCAUAUGUUUGUGGCUGACCAUACCCAGAUUGUUGCUGCGCAUUAUAUGCAC